rnacentral:rRNA from 1 species
AUUGAACGCUGGCGGCAGGCCUAACACAUGCAAGUCGAGCGAGCGGCGGACGGGUGUGUAAUGUCUGGGAAACUGCCUGAUGGAGGGGGAUAACUACUGGAAACGGUAGCUAUCACCGCAUACCAUCAGAUGUGCCCAGGUGGGAUGAGCUAGUAGGUGGGGUAACGGCUCACCUAGGCGACGAUCCCUAGCUGGGCUGAGAGGACGGCCAGCCACACUGGAACUGAGACACGGCCCAGACUCCUACGAGAGGCAGCAGUGGGGAAUAUUGGACAAUGGGCUCAAGCCUGAUGCAGCCAUGCCGCGUGUGUGAAGAAGGCCUUCGGGUUGUAAAGCACUUUCAGCGGGGAGGCGUUACCCGCAGAAGAAGCACCGGCUAACUCCGUGCCAGCAGCCGCGGUAAUAC